GUCCUAGGUGUGUUUGCAUGUCCAUAAUUAUAUAGCCGUUUGUUUAACUUGCUCUGUAUAUCCGUUUCAAAUCUAUUGAAUUCAUAAUUGGCAUUUUCCUACACUAGCGAGGCUGUGGAUUCUUUUUCAACGUCAUCAUGUCUUUUGAUAAUGACCAAUCUUCCACUUCCUGGAUUGUCCGCGUAGUCGUGUUUUCGCUCUAUCA